rnacentral:tRNA from 1 species
GGGCCCGUGGUUCAACGGAAGAAUUCCGGCCUCGCACGCUGGCGAUGGGGGUUCGAUUCCCCCCGGGUCCA